rnacentral:lncRNA from 1 species
CUUCCCUCCCCGUGGAGCUGACACAGCACCUGGACGUCUGCUACCUAAGGUCUGGGUUCAGGAACUGAGAAGUGGGUGCUUCCCUCCCCGUGGAGCUGACACAGCACCUGGACGUCUGUUACCUACGGUCUGGGUUCAGGAACUGAGAAGUGGGUGCUUCCCUCCCCGUGGAGCUGACACAGCACCUGGACGUCUGUUACCUAAGGUCUGGGUUCAGGAACUGAGAAGUGGGUGCUUCCCUCCCCGUGGAGCUGACACAGCACCUGGACGUCUGUUACCUAAGGUCUGGGUUCAGGAACUGAGAAGUGGGUGCUUCCCUCCCCGUGGAGCUGACACAGCACCUGGACGUCUGUUACCUAAGGUCUGGGUUCAGGAACUGAGAAGUGGGUGCUUCCCUCCCCGUGGAGCUGACACAGCACCUGGACGUCUGUUACCUAAGGUCUGGGUUCAGGAACUGAGAAGUGGGUGCUUCCCUCCCCGUGGAGCUGACACAGCACCUGGACGUCUGUUACCUAAGGUCUGGGUUCAGGAACUGAGAAGUGGGUGCUUCCCUCCCCGUGGAGCUGACACAGCACCUGGACGUCUGUUACCUAAGGUCUGGGUUCAGGAACUGAGAAGUGGGUGCUUCCCUCCCCGUGGAGCUGACACAGCACCUGGACGUCUGUUACCUAAGGUCUGGGUUCAGGAACUGAGAAGUGGGUGCUUCCCUCCCCGUGGAGCUGACACAGCACCUGGACGUCUGUUACCUAAGGUCUGGGUUCAGGAACUGAGAAGUGGGUGCUUUCUUCCCCGUGGAGCUGACGCAGCACCUGGACAUCUGUUACCCUCGUCUUCCCCGCUGAGCACACACUGACUUCUUUAGCACUGUCCUGAGUCACGGAGCUAAGGCAGUGCCCUCAUGGAGGCCGUUGAUGAUGGCAGGAUGCGCCAAGUGAAGGAGCAAUUUCAGGACGGCAGGGCCACAGCUGACCUCAUGGCGCUCAGGACAGACAGGAAACUCUCCUCUCCCACCUGCUCACCUUUAAAGAGGAGGCCCAGGACCGAGUCGUAACUGAGCACUGGAUCCUAACAUGUAACUGUAACAUACAACGGUACCUGGACCCUAACAUGAAUACACAGCACUUGUUUAGAUGGCUGUGUGAUGAAGAAUUAACUAUAAGGAGGAUGGUGAUUUGGAAUUCUGUAUUUGAGUUCAGCUUGAAUUCAAACAAGUCACAUGGAAGUCAUAGAUACUCUUUGGCAUAAAAUUUUAUAUAAAAUAACCUAUCUUCUAAAAGAUUUC